rnacentral:rRNA from 1 species
AUUGAACGCUGGCGGCAGGCUUAACACAUGCAAGUCGAGCGGAGAUGAGGUGCUUGCACCUUAUCUUAGCGGCGGACGGGUGAGUAAUGCUUAGGAAUCUGCCUAUUAGUGGGGGACAACAUUCCGAAAGGAAUGCUAAUACCGCAUACGCCCUACGGGGGAAAGCAGGGGAUCUUCGGACCUUGCGUUAAUAGAUGAGCCUAAGUCGGAUUAGCUAGUUGGUGGAGUAAAGGCCUACCAAGGCGACGAUCUGUAGCGGGUCUGAGAGGAUGAUCCGCCACUCUGGGACUGAGACACGGCCCAGACUCCUACGGGAGGCAGCAGUGGGGAAUAUUGGACAAUGGGCGGAAGCCUGAUCCAGCCAUGCCGCGUGUGUGAAGAAGGCCUUAUGGUUGUAAAGCACUUUAAGCGAGGAGGAGGCUACUUUAGUUAAUACCUAGAGAUAGUGGACGUUACUCGCAGAAUAAGCACCGGCUAACUCUGUGCCAGCCGCCGCCGUAACAC